ACCGAAUAGAUACCCAGGUAGUCCACGCCGUAAACGAUGGAUGCUAGCUGUUAGGAGUAUCGACCCUUCUAGUAGCGAAAGCUAACGCGUUAAGCAUCCCGCCUGGGGAGUGCGGUCGCAAGAUUAAAACUCAAAGGAAUUGACGGGGACCCGCACAAGCGGUGGAGCGUGUUCUUUAAUUCGAUGAUAAGCGAAGAACCUUACCAGGACUUGACAUCCAGGGAAGCACUACGAAAGUAGAGUGUGCCUUUUGGAACCCUGUGACAGGUGCUGCAUGGCCGUCGUCAGCUCGUGUCGUGAGAUGUUUGGUUAAGUCCAUUAACGAGCGCAACCCUUAUGAAUAGUUGAAUUUUUCUAUUCAGACUG
rnacentral:rRNA from 1 species